GAAGAACAUGCCAUAUUGACCAUGUCAUUGAAUCUUUGGUCUAUGUGGUAUGUCCUUC
rnacentral:miRNA from 1 species